rnacentral:rRNA from 1 species
CUAGGGACCUUCGGGCCUGGCGCUUUAAGAUUAGCCUGCGUACGAUUAGCUAGUUGGUAGGGUAAAGGCCUACCAAGGCGACGAUCGUUAGCUGGUCUGAAGAGGAUGACCAGCCACACUGGAACUGAGACACGGUCCAGACUCCUACGGGAGGCAGCAGUGGGGAAUAUUGGACAAUGGGGGCAACCCUGAGUCCAGCAAUACCGGCGUGU